GAUGAACGCUGGCGGCGUGCCUAAUACAUGCAAGUCGAGCGAACAGACGAGGAGCUUGCUCCUCUGACGUUAGCGGCGGACGGGUGAGUAACACGUGGAUAACCUACCUAUAAGACUGGGAUAACUUCGGGAAACCGGAGCUAAUACCGGAUAAUAUAUUGAACCGCAUGGUUCAAUAGUGAAAGACGGUUUUGCUGUCACUUAUAGAUGGAUCCGCGCCGCAUUAGCUAGUUGGUAAGGUAACGGCUUACCAAGGCAACGAUGCGUAGCCGACCUGAGAGGGUGAUCGGUCACACUGGAACGGAGACACGGUCCAGACUCCUACGGGAGGCAGCAGUAGGGAAUCUUCCGCAAUGGGCGAAAGCCUGACGGAGCAACGCCGCGUGAGUGAUGAAGGUCUUCGGAUCGUAAAACUCUGUUAUUAGGGAAGAACAAAUGUGUAAGUAACUAUGCACGUCUUUACGGUACCUAAUCAGAAAGCCACGGCUAACUACGUG
rnacentral:rRNA from 1 species